rnacentral:rRNA from 1 species
UCGGGCCUGCCCAAUGAUGAAUUGAAUGGCUGCAGUAUUUUGACUGUACAAAGGUAGCAUAAUCAUUAGUUUCUUAAUUAGAAGCUUGUAUGAAUGGUUUAAUGAGAAAAUUACUGUCUUUAAUUAAAUUUUAUAGAAUUUUAUUUUUAAGUUAAAAAGCUUAAAUAUUAUUAAAAGACGAGAAGACCCUAUAGAGUUUAAUAAUUUUAAUAAAAUUAUUUUUAAGAAUUAAAUUUUAAUUUUUUAUAAAUUAUUUGGUUGGGGUGACUAGAAAAUUUAAAUAACUUUUAUAUUAUUAUACCAUUUAUUUAUGAGUAAUUGAUCCAUUAUUUAUGAUUAUAAGAUUAAAUUACCUUAGGGAUAACAGCGUAAUUUUUUUAAUGAGUUCUUAUCAAUAAAAAAGUUUGCGACCUCGAUGUUGGAUUAAAAUUAACGUUCGGUGCAGUAGCUGAAAUGUUAGGUCUGUUCGACCUUUAAAAUUUUACAUGAUCUGAGUUUAAACCGGUGUGAGCCAGGUUGGAUUCUAUCUUUAAUUUAAUUUGAUAUUUUAGUACGAAAGGACCGAAUAUUAUUAAUAAUUAAUAUUUAAAGAAUUAUA